GUUGCUGCUAGCAAAACAAAACUAGCUUGAUGCUAGUAGCAGCAAACAUACAUAACGUGGUGCAAAUGUCCUCGCAAUGGCAAUAUCAAAGCAAAUACCACACGCUGGGGUCGCGAGGGGGCUGGAGCCAAUCUCAGGUGACACUGGCAGAGUGGCGGGGUACACCCUGCUGAUUAACCCUUACCACUCCUGGUUUUCCUGACAGCAAAACAGUCCCACAGCCUGAUACUACAUCCACCAUGCCAGUUGGUUAUUCCCCCAAAAUAUAGUGGAUUGGAAGUAAGAAGGAGAUGGAAAUGGACGUACUCAAGUUCAGAUUUCAGGCAGAGUUACCAGUGAACACUCAAGUUGGAAAUGAAAAACUGACCCCAUCUAGUGGCGGUGUGGACGGGAGGCCGCGUCUCGGGGAGCAGCAGUAGACAUCAAGUUCGUGAGGUUUGUGUGUCGAGUCUCACUCCCAAAGAGCUGCUAAUAGACAAGCAGAUUGAUCGUACGCUGCAUCGCUAAUAUUCCACAAUCCUCAUUAUCCCGCAACUGAAGUACAAUGGUAAUCACCACUGGGGAAAACAGCAAAAAAAAAAAAAAAGUACGAAACUGAGCUGGUUCUGGAGUGUGUGGUGGUGAAGAAUGUGAAAGACUCACAAGUGGAGCAGCACCUGUGGUUUGGGAACAUCCCAUCCAUCUUUCUGCACAGGGGGAAUUGUGUGCGUGUGUGCAUGAAGGAGAUGUGUGAGAGAAAAUAAAAGGGAGGACGUGCCGGAGUCCGUGAGUAAUAGGAGAGACAGUGUAAGCAUAUGUGACCCAUUGACAUUGAGCGGGCUGCAGUCUGGUUUCAGCUGGCCUGUGAUCUGGUUCUGUGGGCUACAGAAAAACCCUCGGGGACGGCGGCUUAUGUCUCAGCAAUGCCCCACCGGCUACGAGCAGCAUUUACUACUACAACAAGUCAUAAAUAGCUCCUCGUGAAAAAGUUACAAUGCGGCUCAUUGGCAAAUUUCUAGUGUGUUGCGAGGAAAAUGGUGCAUACGAGAUGGAAAAUGGAUCCUUUAUCCGGGCAAGCAGGAUCUUCGUGCCUCUCCUCGGCUGCAAAGAAAGAAAUGUAAUAGAACUUGGACCUCCACAAUUUCAGCCCCAAACAGGGAGCCCUCUUAUCAUCCGCCAUCUCUCCCCCCAGCUAAUAUUUCACUUCAGCUCCGGGGCCCACAGAAUGAGAGACGUUUCCAUUUCAAGUCAGUCAUUUCCAGGCCUGUGUGUUACCUGUGCGGUGAUAAGUGUUUGACUGACUGGGAGUGUCGUUAGUCACUGUCCGGCUCCGAGUGACAGCCACAGAUUGACGCUGAUGAUGAGAGGCAGAGAGGCUUUGGCGUGUUCGGGGGGGGGGAGACGACAGAAAAAAAAAAAAAAACGGUUGAUGUAGAGAGAAGAGGCAGGAAACACGUUUAUACAAAUGACAAACACAAAGCCCAUGCAGGAAAACGCAAAACACUUCAAGGUGGAUUAAAAGAGAGAAGUCUUUGUAAUGUCACAUGAAGGGACACGAGGGUUCGCAUGCAGAUCGUCAUUUGCAGAAAUGUGUUUAGUUCCUAUUCGGUAUCAAAAGGUGCAGUCGUCUUUGUGGAGACAUUUUAAUCGGAAAGAGAAAGAUCGUCACUGACACAAUUUCAUACUGUCUUGCUUUGUUUGUAUGUGUCGGACCCUGCCUGUUUGUAGCUUCAAACACUAUUCUUCGGACUUUAUUUUCCUCUGAUAACAACUUGUUUAUUCAGUCCUGGGAAACAAAAUAGAUAUUAUUACCUCGAUAAUAUCGUAAAUAUUAGAACCUCCAUAACAACAUAGUGCCCCUUUAAUGACAAAGGCUCAAUAAAGACAAUGUUUUAAUGAAGUUAUUUUUCUGCUGCUACAGACAUAAAGACUAAACUAUGUGAGCAUUUAAUUGGAGUUCUGUUUUCCACUUUUAUCGGCGCCAAAUCUCGAGGAAACUGCCUAAAUAUUUAAAGUUAAAUAUCACUCACUUUCUUGGAAGUCAUCUUAAAAUAACAGACCCACAAACAAAACGUUAACCUCAUUUUUCUCAGUGUUUACUCCGAAAACCGUCACGGUGAGAUCAUCCGUGACUACAGGCCUCUUUAUGGAUUUGGUGGUAAAUAAGGUAGUUAUGUUGUGGAUUAAAUGGUCAGCAUAAUGUUAGUAAUCACGUCUGAUUCCCUUAAUUAGCGGUAUAAUAAAAUAAGCGCCAGUGGGCCAGAUGUGCUCCUCCAGUGACGAUACGAGGCUUAUGAGGAGUGUUUUUUUCCCGUUGUUCAGAGCAGAACUAUCACGAGAUUUCUUAAAAAAUCAGCUGUGGAUAACAAUGUAAAUAUAAAGGCUUGAUAUCACUAACUUUGAGGAUUUAAUGUUGAUCUUUUUUACCAAGCCCUGGCCGACCCCUGACGUGACGGGAUCUUUUAAACGAGCCGUAUCAUAAAACAGCAGUGAUGAUGAAGUUCCAGAUGUAAGUGAGGUGUAAAGUUGGCAACGCUGUUUCGACACCUUUUGCUUUCACCAUUUCUCUCACUGCGAGGCCAACCUGGAAAACACAGAACAGGAAACAAUACGGCGCUACAAGGCCAAGAAGUUCAGUCUCUGGACAUCUCUGGAACAUGUUUUCACCCUCGCGCUCUCUUACCCUUCCCUUUACCUCCUCUUCCAAGCGUGAGUCGGUAAGCUGCGAGAUGGAUGGGCUGAGCGUUGCAAGGGUUUUUCCAAAAGCGUACAGAGUCUGACUGCUGCUCUACCUGAGGAGCGAAAACAAAAGAGCCAUCUCUACCUGUAGGACUGUGGGAGUCGAGGCUUUGAUCUGGACCAGAAAGAGAGAGUAGUUUGAUGAAAUAUUGAUGCUUUCUCUUUUUUUUUUAACUGAGUCCUGUGGGAGCUCAGUCUGCUCUCAGGAUGUGUGCGCUGAUCCACAAUACUGCUCGGCGCCUUCGCUAGAUGAGAAUGGACUUGACUCCUCGGCUCAAGGAGUCUUAUCGGUCCUAAUGGGCCUAAUGAUGACCCCCCACUCCGGGCCUGAAUUGGUCAGGGACUUUUUCUCUUGUUGAUCAAAAGGAGAGGUGUUUUUAAUCAGUCCAGACCUAUUCCGAAAAACACGCACAAGUGAUGUGUGUCUGACAACAUCUUUACAGAUUCUUGACAGCAAAGCCUGCACAUGACUUAAAUCUUUAUUUUGUGUUGAACGGCCUUUUUUUUUUUUUUUUAGAGGGGUAGUUUGCCCUUGAAACCAAGGUGCAACGGCUUCAGGUAAACAUGCUUUACGUCCUGACACGUACAUUCAUUACUGUUGAAUGCAUCCAUGUUAAUCUAGAUCAGACAGCAUAAAAAUAAACAAAGUGCUCACUGAUGAGAGAUAAUUCAACCCACAAGUAUGUUAAAACUUUCCGUGUCUUUAUGUUGCAACUUCACAUUUCUUUUGAUGACAUUUUUCUGUUUUAUGUUGUGAUAACGCUCACCUGACUCACCUGGUUCUGCAGCCACAAACAAGCUUGGAAAUCAUCCUGACAUCUCACCACAAAUACCAUGUAUAAUUGCCAUUAACACAACUGUAAAUAUCCUGACAUCUCGUCAAAAAUUACAUAGUUAUGACGCCCCAAACGUGGCUGUAAAUUGUUCCAGAGUAUCCAAAAUACUUCGUGUUGUUGCCACUAGAAAAUGUGCUGAUGUCUCAUCACAAAUAUCUGGUUUUAUUGCAUAUAACAAGGCUGGUAAUUUCACAACGUCUUGUCAAAAAUAUUACGUUUUGUGUUACUGACAUAUAUGGAAAAUGUCCAUACAUGAUCCAAACAUGACUGGAAAAUGUUUGGUUUCGCUGCUGGAAAAUAUGCCAACGCCUCCUUAAAAAUGUCCGGCAGCGUCACGCUUACAAAUGUUUAAACGCUCCCACCGUCACCUCCAACUCUCAGCAUGACACUCAGCUUAUACAUAUCAUGUAAGUUUGACAUUAAAUGUAUUUCACUUUUAGAAAUGAUACUUAUUUUGCAAACUUUCAAAUAAAAAAUUAUUAAACAAGUAGAGAAAUAAAUAAACGUGACCCACAUGUUCAAAGUGACUCCUCAGUAUUCAAACGUUGAGGCCUUGUUAAAGCCCAGCAUCGGACCAUGUAAUAUGAUUUUCAACUGGCUGCUCAGAAACUUUGAUUGGAGUUUGUGUGAGUGACCCACAUUCUUCAAGCAACAAUGAAAAAAAAAAAAAGAAGAAGAAAAAUCUGAAUAUUGA